CACGUAGGGGGCGAGCGUUGUCCGGAUUCAUUGGGCGUAAAGGGCGCGCAGGCGGCCCGGAAAGUCGGAUGUGAAAACUCGAGGCUCAACCUCGAGCGUGCACCCGAUACUGCCGGGCUUGAGGCAGGUAGGGGAGAUCGGAAUUCCUGGUGUAGCGGUGAAAUGCGCAGAUAUCAGGAGGAACACCGAUGGCGAAGGCAGGUCUCUGGGCCACUACUGACGCUGAGAAGCGAAAGCAUGGGGAGCGAACAGG
rnacentral:rRNA from 1 species